rnacentral:rRNA from 1 species
AGUGAACGCUGGCGGUAGGCCUAACACAUGCAAGUCGAACGGCAGCACAGUAAGAGCUUGCUCUUACGGGUGGCGAGUGGCGGACGGGUGAGGCAUACAUCGGAAUCUACUUUUUCGUGGGGGAUAACGUAGGGAAACUUACGCUAAUACCGCAUACGACCUACGGGUGAAAGCAGGGGAUCUUCGGACCUUUCGCGAUUGAAUGAGCCGAUGUCGGAUUAGCUAGUUGGCGGGGUAAAGGCCCACCAAGGCGACGAUCCGUAGCUGGUCUGAGAGGAUGAUCAGCCACACUGGAACUGAGACACGGUCCAGACUCCUACGGGAGGCAGCAGUGGGGAAUAUUGGACAAUGGGCGCAAGCCUGAUCCAGCCAUACCGCGUGGGUGAAGAAGGCCUUCGGGUUGUAAAGCCCUUUUGUUGGGAAAGAAAAGCAGCAGGUUAAUACCCCGCUGUUCUGACGGUACCCAAGGAAUAAGCACCGGCUAACUUCGUG